AGAGUUUGAUCCUGGCUCAGGACGAACGCUGGCGGCAUGCUUAACACAUGCAAGUCGAGGGGCACUUCGGUGCCACUGGCGCACGGGUGAGUAACACGUAGGUCAUCUGCCCCUAUCACAGACAUAACCCCGGGAAACCGGGGCUAAUAUCUGAUGAGGUCGCGAGAUCAAAGCUUCGGCGGAUAGGGAUGAGCCUGCGGCUGAUUAGCUAGUUGGUGAGGUAAUGGCUCACCAAGGCAACGAUCAGUAGCUGGUCUGAGAGGACGAACAGCCACACUGGAACUGAGACACGGUCCAGACUCCUACGGGAGGCAGCAGUGAGGAAUAUUGGUCAAUGGGCGCAAGCCUGAACCAGCAAUGCCGCGUGUGGGAUGACGGCGCUUUGCGUUGUAAACCACUGUCGGACGGGACGAAAAGAGGCAACAGCCUCCGAGACGGUACCGUCAAAGGAAGGGUCGGCUAACUACGUGCCAGCAGCCGCGGUAAUACGUAGGACCCAAGCGUUGUCCGGAUUCACUGGGUAUAAAGGGUGCGUAGGCGGUCUUGUGCGUCAGAGGUGAAACAUCCGGGCUCAACCCGGAGGGUGCCUUUGAUACGGCAGGACUUGAGUGCGAGAGAGGAUGAUGGAAUUCCUGGUGUAGCGGUGAAAUGCGUAGAUAUCAGGAGGAACACCGGUGGCGAAGGCGGUCAUCUGGCUCGCAACUGACGCUGAGGCACGAAAGCGUGGGGAUCAAACAGGAUUAGAUACCCUGGUAGUCCACGCCCUAAACGAUGUAUGCUUGGUGUUGGGUCCGCAAGGA
rnacentral:rRNA from 1 species